rnacentral:miRNA from 1 species
AAAAGUGCAGCUGGGCAUGGUGGCACAUACCUGUAUUCCCAGCACUGGGGAGGCUGAGGCAGGAGGAU